UACAGAGGUCCCGAGCGUUUGUUCGGAUUCACUGGGCGUAAAGGGUGCGUAGGUGGUGGGGUAAGUCGGAUGUGAAAUCUCGGAGCUCAACUCCGAAAUGGCAUUGGAGACUACCCUGCUGGAGGUUUGGAGGGGGGACUGGAAUUCUCGGUGUAGCAGUGAAAUGCGUAGAUAUCGAGAGGAACACCAGUGGCGAAGGCGGCUCACUGGUCCAUUACUGACGCUGAGGUGCGAAAGCGUGGGGAGCAAACAGG
rnacentral:rRNA from 1 species